rnacentral:tRNA from 2 species
GGCCCCAUCGUCUAGAGGCCUAGGACACGGGCCUUUCAAGCCUGCGACCGGGGUUCGAAUCCCCGUGGGGUCA